CUCUGGCCCAAGGCUCUCUGACCGACUCCUUCCCAGAUCUUCUCGGCUUAGCGGCUGAAGACUGACGCUGCUCGUAGACCAUCACGGACGCCGAGCUUUAGGGGGCUGAGGAGUCAUGAACUUCACUCAAGCUGAACUCCCAGAGCCUGUGAUCCCAAUCACCAAAGAUACAGUGAUUGGUCCAGGGAGAGAGAAGAUGUCCUUCUGAGACUGAGGGUAACCUGGAGCUGCUGCAGGCGCUGUUGCAAUCACGGGUACCCAUUUGUCUGAGAUUGACACCAACAUAAAAGAGAGCAAAUUAGAGUGGUGGAGAGAGAUGUGGCAGAUUUCUGAAGGCAUUGUUUAAACUCUCAGACCCACCCAUGUGGAAAGUUUGUGCUAUCUCUGGGCUUUUCAAUAAUGUCAUAGAGGUGGGUGGAGCCACCUUCCCUCAUCCCUG
rnacentral:lncRNA from 10 species